rnacentral:rRNA from 1 species
CACGUAGGGUGCGAGCGUUGUCCGGACUGACUGGGCGUAAAGCGCACGCAGGCGGCGCUGUGCGUGGGGUGUGAAAGCUCUUGGCUUAACUGAGAGAGGCCAUCCCAUACGGCAGCGCUCGAGCGGUGCAGAGGUCCGCGGAAUUGCCGGUGUAGUGGUGAAAUGCGUAGAGAUCGGCAGGAACACCCAGGGGGAAACCAGCGGACUGGGCAUCGGCUGACGCUCAGGUGCGACAGCGUGGGGAGCGGAACCGG